AUAAAAAUAGCAGGGCCUGGAUUAGAAACUGGCUGGCAGAUGAGGAACAGAGCUUCACUGUUGCUUCAGGUUGCCUGGUGUCACCAUAAAGAUUCUGUACAGUGUUGGCAUGAGUCGGCUAAGCUGGGGCAGAUUGACACAGAAGGCACAAGGCUGAUGUGGAGAAGCACAGUGAGAAACACCAGCUCUUUUGGGUGACUGGCUGAUGUCUUGAUCAAGAGAGGGAACACACAGACAAAAUAGGCUUUCACUGAGCUCUGCUCCUUGCAGCCCAACAAAGCUGGAAAACAUGCCACACGAAGGGAGGUGCACAGAAGGGUUUGCUUUUCUGCCUUGUUAGAUGGCAAGUUUGUGCUCGUCAUACCAGGAGGAGCAGUAUCCGUGGUUCUCACAUAAUUCACGGGAAAAGGACAACCGUCCUCCCUGCCCUGCACCCCCACCCCAGUUUAAAAUGUCUUUUGACAGGAUCUUUUUUUGGCCAAAGGUAGUUUCCUGGAUGAACUGGCACCUCCUACCUCCAGUGAUGUUCCUAGUGGACAACCAAAUAUAGAGGACCACCACAACUGCCAAGCAAUUGCCCUUUGGGAUCCAGGCCCAGGAGAUGGCUCCUUCAAACACAGAAGACAGCUUCUAGCAGGCACUGGGGGUGGAGACACAUCGUGACUGAGGUGCAGUGUUUGAGGGAGAGGCUGAGCUGGAAUUAGAAGCCCCUGUGUCCCGAGCAGGAUCUGGUAUGUCCCCUGAGCAUCGCCACCUACAAAUCAUCGAUACAGUCUUUAAAUAGGCAUAAUGAAAAGCCUCCCUGAAACCGGCCGCACAGAAUUCCUGCAGACAUUUUGUUCUUUCUCUGGUUACAAACCAUGGGUGUGUAGGGCUGUUCCAGCAGCUGCAUGCAAGGCUUCGGACGUAGCAACAGCUACAGAGUGGCUGUGAGAACGACUCCUCUUGUACGCAAUCAUACAUCAGCACGCCCUGCGGUGCUAUAAAAAGAGCCUGCACAGAGACCACAGCGCUCUUUGUCGACUGAAGACAGAGCUGGAACAGCAUCGCCAUCCUUGUAUCAGAGAGGGAACUGCAGGGGCAACGCGUCCCUCUUUGCUCACCUUGAUGACACGAUGAGGUU